AUUUCUCUUGUCCAUUGAAAGCUUUAAUUUCAGUGUGGGUUUCCCAAUCACUCCACUGGCUUUGGAAAGGCGGAUUUGAAAUUGCAUAGGUGAUUUAAUCUGGCUUCCUUUCAAACCUUAGAAAUUCAGUAGCAAUGCCAAGUCUUCAAGACCAAAUGUCACUGAAGAUGACUUGAAAGCACCACCAGCAUUCUAUAUUCGGAGACACGAGAUAACAUACAUUGGAGUGAAGAUCUGUGAGUGUAGCUACUGUUUAUUCAGCCACAGCACGUUCACUAAAGUGGGCGAAAGAAACUGAUCGAAUGAACAAUUAGGAUAUCUCUGGGUUUACCAUUUAACAUUUUAUUCAGCUAAUGUGUCCAUGCUCUUCCCAACAACUGUAUUUUUUUUGUCUUUUAGUAACACCUGGUAAAUUAAUCCCAGUGCCUUCACACAAACAGUAUGAGCCCGUUGAAUAUCGGCCGGGCCUCAGUUCCCAAAAACCUCCCGGAGUUUGCAGCUAUGCUAAUUACUCGUGGAUUAUCGAGCGGCCAGAUAGUUUGUUAUAAGAAUGGAAUGUGGACACAGAAACGGCUCGUUGCACCCCAGAGGUAGAAGAUACAGGAGCCUGAGGGCACGUACCACCAGGCUCAAGGACAGCUUCUACCCCACUGUGAUAAGACUAUUGAAUGGUUCCCUUAUACAAUGAGAUGGACUCUUGACCUCACAAUCUACCUUGCACCUUAUUGUAUACCUGCACUGCACUUGCUCUGUAGCUGUGACACUUUACUCUGUACUGUU